rnacentral:rRNA from 1 species
CGGACGGGUGAGUAAUGCCUAGGAAUCUGCCUGGUAGUGGGGGAUAACGUUCGGAAACGGACGCUAAUACCGCAUACGUCCUACGGGAGAAAGCAGGGGACCCUCGGGCCUUGCGCUAUCAGAUGAGCCUAGGUCGGAUUAGCUAGUUGGUGAGGUAAUGGCUCACCAAGGCGACGAUCCGUAACUGGUCUGAGAGGAUGAUCAGUCACACUGGAACUGAGACACGGUCCAGACUCCUACGGGAGGCAGCAGUGGGGAAUAUUGGACAAUGGGCGAAAGCCUGAUCCAGCCAUGCCGCGUGUGUGAAGAAGGUCUUCGGAUUGUAAAGCACUUUAAGUUGGGAGGAAGGGCAUUAACCUAAUACGUUAGUGUUUUGACGUUACCGACAGAAUAAGCACCGGCUAACUCUGUGCCAGCAGCCGCGGUAAUACAGAGGGUGCAAGCGUUAAUCGGAAUUACUGGGCGUAAAGCGCGCGUAGGUGGUUUGUUAAGUUGGAUGUGAAAUCCCCGGGCUCAACCUGGGAACUGCAUUCAAAACUGACUGACUAGAGUAUGGUAGAGGGUGGUGGAAUUUCCUGUGUAGCGGUGAAAUGCGUAGAUAUAGGAAGGAACACCAGUGGCGAAGGCGACCACCUGGACUAAUACUGACACUGAGGUGCGAAAGCGUGGGGAGCAAACAGGAUUAGAUACCCUGGUAGUCCACGCCGUAAACGAUGUCAACUAGCCGUU